UCAGCUCUUAGUGAUCCAGGCCUGAUC
rnacentral:piRNA from 1 species